rnacentral:rRNA from 1 species
GACGAACGCUGGCGGCGUGCUUAACACAUGCAAGUCGAACGGAGUACCCUUGACUGAGGUUUCGGCCAAAUGAUAGGAAUGCUUAGUGGCGGACUGGUGAGUAACGCGUGAGGAACCUACCUUCCAGAGGGGGACAACAGUUGGAAACGACUGCUAAUACCGCAUGACGCAUGACCGGGGCAUCCCGGGCAUGUCAAAGAUUUUAUCGCUGGAAGAUGGCCUCGCGUCUGAUUAGCUAGAUGGUGGGGUAACGGCCCACCAUGGCGACGAUCAGUAGCCGGACUGAGAGGUUGACCGGCCACAUUGGGACUGAGAUACGGCCCAGACUCCUACGGGAGGCAGCAGUGGGGAAUAUUGGGCAAUGGACGCAAGUCUGACCCAGCAACGCCGCGUGAAGGAAGAA